UCGAUUCACUGGAGUAAGACUCUCGCGAGAAGCUCCCGCGUAUCUGUGUCGCGGAAACGGUAGCCUGAAAGAGUCGCGCCGGUCGCCGCCAUCGUGGUACACCUCCGCGCGAGACCGACACGCCGUUCGCGCGCUUCUCGGGGGGAGGCUCUGCCGGCCGCGGCGACGCACGUUGUUGGUUCGGCGAGCUACGAUCCGUGGCCAAAAUUGUCUUCGCGUCGUCGCUUCAAGAUCUAAGCUUAUAGCUAUCGUGGAAUUCGUCUCGAGAACCGGCUAGAAUAUUAUCUGGGUGAAAAUAUAAGCCAUCGCUGCCAGGAUUAAAGGGUGCGUAAAUCCUAAGGAAAGCUGCAGGGCUAAUUUUUAUAAUGUUCAUAAUAAUAACAACGGACGAUCGCCUCUAUAUUAAGCUGAAUUUUAUGUUCCGGUCGUUAAGCAGAACACUUACGAGUCUCGCUGGAUAUACGGGACGAUUUAGAAAUAAAUAUUGACGAGCACCUGUUAAUGUCAGACGUCGGGUGUCGUACAAGGUGUAAGUGAAAAUGCGUGCGGUGUCACGGCCUUAAUAAAUAAAUUAAUAAAUAAAAGCUA